AAAUGGAAUUGAAACAAAUGCCUUGGAGGAGAAUGUUUGCAAAAAAAAACUUUUAUAAUUUGUGAUGUACAGAUAUUUUUAAUAACUCUCGUUUAAGUAACAAAAAAUGUUGAAGCUGAAUUCGUUUUCUCAAACAAGUUAUUCAACCUUACAUUGACUAGGUUCUUCAACAAAAACCUAUUAUAUUUAUCAAAAUUGUACUAAUAGUUUUAAGUAAGCGAUGAUCCACUUUAACCACAGUCCUACUUUUGCAAAUUAUGCAAAAAUGACUUUAGUUUUUGAAUUGCUUGUAGUCCAAGAUGUUUGGAAUAUCCAAAUGAAUUCAUUUAAAUCUUAUCUCGUUAAUAUACGGCUAUUUAAUAGUGUGAUAUAACAGCAACAUUGCAUAAGACAUGAGCUUUUUUGAUUAUUCUCUUUUCUCACUUUGACGAUAAGAACCACGUCCUUACCAGCAUUACUUUGAUCUGUGCAUAAGUAAGAGGGAAAAGUUCCUGAAUUAUUGUAUUAAUUUAACAUCCCUACAAUUUAAUACUCAGAUUAACUUUGUUUUCUUCAACGUAGAAGUAAAAACCAUAACAAGUAUCUGUGUUGAAAGAUGAAGGGUAGGUUCAUUAAAAUUAC